UUCGAGCUAGGUUUAGAGGAGGAGAAAACUUAUCGUUGUUACAGAUGAAGAUGGUGAUCGGAUUGAGAUCGGAUUAGAAAACUUCAUAACCAUGAGAUUAAGUCCCCAAUUUCAAUCGAAGUUUUCUUCUCCAUUGAAUUGCAGAACUGAACUGCUUCAACUACACGGGUGAUUUUAUGGUCGGAUUGAUCUUGAAUUUACAAAUUGGGGUUUUAAUUUUCUUUUUCAGUUCCACCAUGUUUGUAGUGCUUGGGAAGCUGACCGGAUUUUGAAGUAGCAACAACAAGAAGAAGAAGCUCUCCUUCCUUUUUAGUAGUGAGGUUCUGAGUUAAUUUGGAACUUGGAAAUCAGAUGAGAAGUUCGCGAGGUAUAUCGUGCUUUGCUUAGUGAGAAAACACAAUUUUCCACGAGAUGAAAUAGAUACAGGUAGUUGCUCAUGGAUGAGAAUGUUGAUUCCGAGGUUACCCAUGGAGCACCCAAAAAGAGUUAAAACUACCUUUUGAGCUUACACGAAAGCAGUUCCCAAUUCGUGCAGGUUUUCUUUAACCAUAAACAAGUCUUAAGGGCAAACCAUACCACAUGUUGGUGUUUACCUACAAGAUCAUGUGUUUAGUCAUGGACAGUCGUAUAUUGCUUUGUCCAGGGGAGUCUCAGGAACCAUAACAGACCAGAAAUGUGAUAGUGCGGGGUAAUGUGUUUCUUAUUGAUUUAAUUUCAAAUGAAUCUUUUUAUUGUUGGUAUGUUUCCGAGAAACAUUUUAUUGUCGCCUCAUAUUUUUUCGAACAUGGAAUAACGUAUGUGAGAGUUUAUUGUUUGCCGACGUGCAACGCACGUG